rnacentral:rRNA from 1 species
AUUGAACGCUGGCGGCAGGCUUAACACAUGCAAGUCGAACGAUGACUCUCUAGCUUGCUAGAGAAGAUUAGUGGCGGACGGGUGAGUAACAUUUAGGAAUCUGCCUAGUAGUGGGGGAUAGCUCGGGGAAACUCGAAUUAAUACCGCAUACGACCUACGGGUGAAAGGGGGCGCAAGCUCUUGCUAUUAGAUGAGCCUAAAUCAGAUUAGCUAGUUGGUGGGGUAAAGGCCCACCAAGGCGACGAUCUGUAACUGGUCUGAGAGGAUGAUCAGUCACACCGGAACUGAGACACGGUCCGGACUCCUACGGGAGGCAGCAGUGGGGAAUAUUGGACAAUGGGGGCAACCCUGAUCCAGCCAUGCCGCGUGUGUGAAGAAGGCCUUUUGGUUGUAAAGCACUUUAAGCAGGGAGGAGAGGCUAAUGGUUAAUACCCAUUAGAUUAGACGUUACCUGCAGAAUAAGCACCGGCUAACUCUGUGCCAGCAGCCGCGGUAAUACAGAGGGUGCGAGCGUUAAUCGGAAUUACUGGGCGUAAAGCGAGUGUAGGUGGCUCAUUAAGUCACAUGUGAAAUCCCCGGGCUUAACCAGGGAACUGCAUGUGAUACUGGUGGUGCUAGAAUAUGUGAGAGGGAAGUAGAAUUCCAGGUGUAGCGGUGAAAUGCGUAGAGAUCUGGAGGAAUACCGAUGGCGAAGGCAGCUUCCUGGCAUAAUAUUGACACUGAGAUUCGAAAGCGUGGGUAGCAAACAGGAUUAGAUACCCUGGUAGUCCACGCCGUAAACGAUGUCUACUAGCCGUUGGGGUCCUUGAGACUUUAGUGGCGCAGUUAACGCGAUAAGUAGACCGCCUGGGGAGUACGGCCGCAAGGUUAAAACUCAAAUGAAUUGACGGGGGCCCGCACAAGCGGUGGAGCAUGUGGUUUAAUUCGAUGCAACGCGAAGAACCUUACCUGGUCUUGACAUAGUGAGAAUCCUGCAGAGAUGCGGGAGUGCCUUCGGGAAUUCACAUACAGGUGCUGCAUGGCUGUCGUCAGCUCGUGUCGUGAGAUGUUGGGUUAAGUCCCGCAACGAGCGCAACCCUUUUCCUUAUUUGCCAGCGGGUUAAGCCGGGAACUUUAAGGAUACUGCCAGUGACAAACUGGAGGAAGGCGGGGACGACGUCAAGUCAUCAUGGCCCUUACGACCAGGGCUACACACGUGCUACAAUGGUAGGCACAGAGGGUUGCUACACAGCGAUGUGAUGCUAAUCUCAAAAAGCCUAUCGUAGUCCGGAUUGGAGUCUGCAACUCGACUCCAUGAAGUCGGAAUCGCUAGUAAUCGCAGAUCAGAAUGCUGCGGUGAAUACGUUCCCGGGCCU